UACGGGGGGGGCAAGCGUUGUUCGGAAUUACUGGGCGUAAAGGGCUCGUAGGCGGCCAACUAAGUCGGAUGUGAAAUCCCCAGGCUCAACUUGGGAACUGCAUCCGAUACUGGAUGGCUUGAAUUCAGGAGAGGGAUGCAGAAUUCCAGGUGUAGCGGUGAAAUGCGUAGAUAUCUGGAGGAAUACCGGUGGCGAAGGCGGCAUCCUGGACCGACAUUGACGCUGAGGAGCGAAAGCUAGGGGAGCAAACGGG
rnacentral:rRNA from 1 species